rnacentral:rRNA from 1 species
UACAGAGGGGGCUAGCGUUGUUCGGAAUUACUGGGCGUAAAGGGCGCGUAGGUGGCCUGUUAAGUCGAACGUGAAAUCCCCGGGCUUAACCCGGGAACUGCGUCCGAUACUGGUGGGCUUGAAUCCGGGAGAGGGAUGUGGAAUUCCAAGUGUAGCGGUGAAAUGCGUAGAUAUCUGGAGGAACACCGGUGGCGAAGGCGGCAUCCUGGACCGGUAUUGACGCUGAGGCGCGAAAGCUAGGGGAGCAAACGGG